UCGCCGUUUCUUUCUCUCGCUGUAGGAGGAGGCCAUCCCAGAGCUGGAGAUCGAUGUGGAUGAACUGCUGGACAUGCCCAGUGACGUUGAGCGAGCAGCCAGAGUCAAGGACUUGCUGGUUGACUGUUUUAAACCCACUGAGGACUUCGUCUCAGAGCUGCUUGACAAGAUCAGAGGAAUGCAGAAGCUCUCUACGCCUCAGAAGAAAUAAUGGCAUCCCUCCUUUUUCCCCCACAUGUUCCCGUCCUCUCCGACCCUCACGUCUUGACUUCCUUCCACGCCCAACGUUUAUCUUUUAAUGUCUUCUGCUUCCAUAGAAGGUCAUUAAAUGCAUCGUUUCUGCUUAGAAUUUGACCACCUGACUUCACCCCCGGCUGUCUUGGUCACUUUUCUUCAUAUUUUUUUUUUUUUUGGGUGUACUUUGGACCACUCGAACUUCUUUCAUCCGUGGAAAUAAAUAAUCUGCAAGCCAACUUGUCUGUCGUAAUCCAGGCACUCUCCUUCCCUAUUGUUUCGCCUCCUGCCGUUAUUGGCUCUCUCCUUGCUAAUCUCUCUCCUCUUCCUCCCACUUUCCCAUCUGCCUGAGGAGGAACAGAGUCCCAUAAUUACUGUAAAAGCGGGGUGGGCUUGGAGUGGGAAGGAGAACACGUAAAAUACCAGCCAACCGCCACAAGAAAUGGAGUCAAAACCGAGGAUGAAGAAGGAUCCACCAGCGUGAAUAUGUGAAUAUUUUAACUUGUUUUUAGUUGUCCCAGACACCAUUCAGAGAUUUGUUUCCCAUUACCGGUUCUGUUUGAGGGCAUGGAGAUCAUCACUUUACUUUAACUUUUUAUAGUAAUCUUUUUAGGGAAAUUCUGCCGCCUAAACACUGGCAUUAGUGCAAUGCUGCAUUAAGACAUUUUCAGAGUCUCUUAAAGGGCAUAUACCAUCAUUUUUGCAACUUCUCCUGUGUUCAGGAUCAUAGCUCACGAUAAUUACAAUUAUUUCAAGUCUAAAAUUGAGAAUUAUGUAUUUAAAAAAUCAAAUGGAAAGCAGCCGGAAGUGGCUGAAGAGUGAUGGGGUUACUUCUGGACCGCUAAACUUGGUUAUAAGACAAUAACACAAUGAAUAUCAAGGAUAAGAUCAGUGAUGCCAAAGUCUAAAGGCUCAAAUUUGGGUUCAAAAAGGGAGAAUUUAUAUGGAUGUUUUUUCACUGAGAGGGAUGAAAUCAAGAGAAAUGGCUGUAGCUUGGAAAUCUAACAAACCAGCAAACUAGUGGGAUUUAAAAACUCUAUCAGGAAGUCUUCCUGCAAUUCACCCCAGUGGAGAAUGGCAGCAUGGGAGCAAAACUGUAACUCAAAACUUUUAACAUUAAGGCAGGUUAAAGGUGCAGGUUACUGCAGACUAAAAAGUAAAAGUAAUGCAUUUUCCUACCCGAUCCACAUUAUGCUUACAAACAAACGUCACCUGGGUCUGCCUGUUGACUCCCUGCUUGAGCCAUUCUUCUUAGCCGUGGCAUGAACUGUCAUGUUCCUUUAGUUUUCGGUUGUUGUUUUGUCCGCUUUAAUCCAAAUUCCAGUUAUUUGUUUUAAGCCUAGGACAAAAAAUGUGAAAAUCUCUCCUUCUUACCUGUGUUUGCAGGUAAGGAGCUAAAAUGCUCACUGUGUCCUUUUUCUGUGUCGUCCAUACAUUGGACACAUAUUUCUUAAAAGGGUGCUUAUUGUUAAGAAAAGUACCAUGAGAGAUUUCCAGACGCUACGGCAUCCUCCAUAUAUGGCAGUGCCUUCCUGUUUUAGUAGGUGUGACUCAAUAAGGGUUGUUUUGUGUUCAGAGAAGCACAUUUCAGAAUUUGUUAUCCACUUUGAAAAUUAGUGGAAAGACUGAGAUUGCGUUUGUAUGCGUCAUACGCUCGGGACGUCUAGGCUUUCUGGGUCGGAAAUAUGAUGAUAUAUGCCCUUUUUUUAAAUAAAAACCUGCAUUGUGUCAUUUUUGGUGGAAGAAAAUCUGAAGCUCUGACCACGAAGCGUCACUAAAAUCUGACCUUAGUCCAGCGAAGAGGAAACUUUGAUGCCUGAAAAUAACGGUUGAACCUUUUAGGAAGUUUUUAGACCGUCAAAUAAACGUUUGUUUGGUUUGAAGCUAAA